GCGGGCGCUGUGGCUCCGGGACUGCGGAGAACAUAUUGUGAUGUUGGUGCCUCAGAGCUAAAACUAUGAGUGAAUUUCGGAUUCACCAUGACGUCAAUGAACUGCUUAGCCUGCUGCGUGUCCACGGAGGAGAUGGGGCUGAGGUCUACAUUGACCUGCUUCAAAAGAACAGGACCCCGUACGUCACUACCACUGUCUCUGCUCACAGUGCCAAGGUGAGCACUGCCCUGGGUGUAGCGCUGUGCAGGGUGAGCGCCGUUCCUGGGUCAGGGUGCAGGAUGAGCGCCGUUCCUGGGUCAGGGUGCAGGAUGAGCGCCGUUCCUGGGUCAGGGUGGUGCAGGGUGAGCCCACCCCUGGGUCAGGGUGCAGGAUGAGCGCCGUUCCUGGGUCAGGGUGGUGCAGGGUGAGUGCCAUUCCUGGGUCAGGGUGCAGGAUGAACACUGUUCCUGGGUCAGGGUGCAGGAUGAACACUGUUCCUGGGUCAGGAUGGUGCGGGGUGAACCCACCCCUCGGUCCAGGUGCAGGGUGAGCCCCGUCCCUGGGUCAGGGUGUAGGGUGAGCCCACCCCUGGGUCAGGGUACAUGAUGAGCACCGCCCCUGGGUCAGGGUGCAGGGUGAGCGCCGCCUCUGCUGCAGGGUGCAGGGUGAGCACCACCUCUGGCACAGGGCUGUGCAGGGUGCAGGGUGAGCGCCACCCCUGGUGCAGGGUGCAGGGUGAGUGCCGCCCCAGGGUCAGGAUGGUGCAGGGUGAGCGCCUCUGGUCCAGGGCUGUGCAGGGUGGAGGGUGAGCGCCACCCUGGGGUCAGGAUGGUGCAGGGUGAGCGCCACCCCUGUGCAGGGCUGUGUGCUGUGCAAGAUGCAGGGUGAGUGCCCAUUCCUGGGUGGCGUCAAUGGUACUGGCAACGGUGGCAGAGAGCACUUGGUCUGUGUGUGUGUUCAGCUCUGAUUCUGCUGACUCCUCCCAGCAGCUCCUGUGAUUCACCCCACUCUGCAGAUGAGUAAAUGGAGGCCUGUGGAGAAAGCUGGGCCUAGAACCUUACCUCUUCCCCACUCUGUCCCCUGCAGCCACGAGGCAGGAGAGUCCUGACAUGUGCAUUCCUGUGGACAGAAAGGGAGGGACUGGGCCAGGCACGGUGGCUCACACCUGUAAUCCCAGCACUUUGGGAGGCUGAGGCAGGUGGAUCACGAGGUCAGGAGAUCGAGACCAUCCUGGCUAACACAGUGAAACCCCGUCUCUACUAAAAAAUACAAAAAAUUAGCCGGGUGUGGUGGCGGGCACCUGUAGUCACAGCUACUCAGGAGGCUGAGGCAGGAGAAUGGCGUGAACCCGGGAGGCAGAGCUUGCAGUGAGCCGAGAUCGCGCCACUGCACUCCAGCCUGGGCGACGGAGUGAGACUCCAUCUCAAAAACAAAAAAAAGAAAAGAAAAAA
rnacentral:sRNA from 1 species